rnacentral:rRNA from 1 species
CUACGUGUAGCUUACUGACGGUACCGUAAGAAUAAGGACCGGCUAACUCCGUGCCAGCAGCCGCGGUAAUACGGAGGGUCCGAGCGUUAUCCGGAAUUAUUGGGUUUAAAGGGUCCGUAGGCGGGCCGUUAAGUCAGGGGUGAAAGUCUGCGGCUCAACCGUAGAAAUGCCUUUGAUACUGGCGGUCUUGAGUUAUGGUGAAGUUGCCGGAAUAUGUAGUGUAGCGGUGAAAUGCAUAGAUAUUACAUAGAACACCGAUUGCGAAGGCAGGUGACUAACCAUAUACUGACGCUGAUGGACGAAAGCGUGGGGAGCGAACAGGAUUAGAUACCCUGGUAGUCCACGCCGUAAACGAUGGAUACUAGCUGUCCGAGGCCUUGAGUCUUGGGCGGCCAAGCGAAAGUGAUAAGUAUCCCACCUGGGGAGUACGUUCGCAAGAAUGAAACUCAAAGGAAUUGACGGGGGCCCGCACAAGCGGUGGAGCAUGUGGUUUAAUUCGAUGAUACGCGAGGAACCUUACCAGGGCUUAAAUGCAUAUUGACAGGGCUAGAGAUAGCUUUUCCUUCGGGCAAUUUGCAAGGUGCUGCAUGGUUGUCGUCAGCUCGUGCCGUGAGGUGUCAGGUUAAGUCCUAUAACGAGCGCAACCCCUACCGUUAGUUGCCAGCAUGUCAUGAUGGGGACUCUAACGGGACUGCCGGUGCAAACCGUGAGGAAGGUGGGGAUGACGUCAAAUCAUCACGGCCCUUACGUCCUGGGCCACACACGUGCUACAAUGGCCGGUACAGAGAGCAGCCACUUGGCAACAAGGAGCGAAUCUAUAAAACCGGUCACAGUUCGGAUCGGGGUCUGCAACCCGACCCCGUGAAGCUGGAAUCGCUAGUAAUCG